UACCAGCACCCCGAGUGGUCGGGACGAUUAUUGGGCCUAAAGCAUCCGUAGCCGGUCCUGCAAGUCUUCCGUUAAAUCCAGCCGCUCAACGGCUGGGCUGCGGAGGAUACUACAGGACUAGGGAGGCGGGAGAGGCAAGCGGUACUCAGUGGGUAGGGGUAAAAUCCUUUGAUCCAUUGAAGACCACCAGUGGCGAAGGCGGCUUGCCAGAACGUGCUCGACGGUGAGGGAUGAAAGCUGGGGGAGCAAACCGG
rnacentral:rRNA from 1 species